UUAAGCGACUAAGCGUACACGGUGGAUGCCCUGGCAGUCAGAGGCGAUGAAGGACGUGCUAAUCUGCGAUAAGCGUCGGUGAGGUGAUAUGAACCGUUAUAACCGGCGAUUUCCGAAUGGGGAAACCCAGUGUGUUUCGACACACUAUCAUUAACUGAAUCCAUAGGUUAAUGAGGCGAACCGGGGGAACUGAAACAUCUAAGUACCCCGAGGAAAAGAAAUCAACCGAGAUUCCCCCAGUAGCGGCGAGCGAACGGGGAGGAGCCCAGAGCCUGAAUCAGUGUGUGUGUUAGUGGAAGCGUCUGGAAAGGCGCGCGAUACAGGGUGACAGCCCCGUACACAAAAAUGCACAUAUUGUGAGCUCGAUGAGUAGGGCGGGACACGUGGUAUCCUGUCUGAAUAUGGGGGGACCAUCCUCCAAGGCUAAAUACUCCUGACUGACCGAUAGUGAACCAGUACCGUGAGGGAAAGGCGAAAAGAACCCCGGCGAGGGGAGUGAAAAAGAACCUGAAACCGUGUACGUACAAGCAGUGGGAGCCUCUUAAUGGGGUGACUGCGUACCUUUUGUAUAAUGGGUCAGCGACUUAUAUUCUGUAGCAAGGUUAACCGAAUAGGGGAGCCGAAGGGAAACCGAGUCUUAACUGGGCGUUAAGUUGCAGGGUAUAGACCCGAAACCCGGUGAUCUAGCCAUGGGCAGGUUGAAGGUUGGGUAACACUAACUGGAGGACCGAACCGACUAAUGUUGAAAAAUUAGCGGAUGACUUGUGGCUGGGGGUGAAAGGCCAAUCAAACCGGGAGAUAGCUGGUUCUCCCCGAAAGCUAUUUAGGUAGCGCCUCGUGAAUUCAUCUCCGGGGGUAGAGCACUGUUUCGGCAAGGGGGUCAUCCCGACUUACCAACCCGAUGCAAACUGCGAAUACCGGAGAAUGUUAUCACGGGAGACACACGGCGGGUGCUAACGUCCGUCGUGAAGAGGGAAACAACCCAGACCGCCAGCUAAGGUCCCAAAGUCAUGGUUAAGUGGGAAACGAUGUGGGAAGGCCCAGACAGCCAGGAUGUUGGCUUAGAAGCAGCCAUCAUUUAAAGAAAGCGUAAUAGCUCACUGGUCGAGUCGGCCUGCGCGGAAGAUGUAACGGGGCUAAACCAUGCACCGAAGCUGCGGCAGCGACACUAUGUGUUGUUGGGUAGGGGAGCGUUCUGUAAGCCUGUGAAGGUGGCCUGUGAGGGUUGCUGGAGGUAUCAGAAGUGCGAAUGCUGACAUAAGUAACGAUAAAGCGGGUGAAAAGCCCGCUCGCCGGAAGACCAAGGGUUCCUGUCCAACGUUAAUCGGGGCAGGGUGAGUCGACCCCUAAGGCGAGGCCGAAAGGCGUAGUCGAUGGGAAACAGGUUAAUAUUCCUGUACUUGGUGUUACUGCGAAGGGGGGACGGAGAAGGCUAUGUUGGCCGGGCGACGGUUGUCCCGGUUUAAGCGUGUAGGCUGGUUUUCCAGGCAAAUCCGGAAAAUCAAGGCUGAGGCGUGAUGACGAGGCACUACGGUGCUGAAGCGACAAAUGCCCUGCUUCCAGGAAAAGCCUCUAAGCAUCAGGUAACAUCAAAUCGUACCCCAAACCGACACAGGUGGUCAGGUAGAGAAUACCAAGGCGCUUGAGAGAACUCGGGUGAAGGAACUAGGCAAAAUGGUGCCGUAACUUCGGGAGAAGGCACGCUGAUAUGUAGGUGAAGCGACUUGCUCGUGGAGCUGAAAUCAGUCGAAGAUACCAGCUGGCUGCAACUGUUUAUUAAAAACACAGCACUGUGCAAACACGAAAGUGGACGUAUACGGUGUGACGCCUGCCCGGUGCCGGAAGGUUAAUUGAUGGGGUUAGCGGUAACGCGAAGCUCUUGAUCGAAGCCCCGGUAAACGGCGGCCGUAACUAUAACGGUCCUAAGGUAGCGAAAUUCCUUGUCGGGUAAGUUCCGACCUGCACGAAUGGCGUAAUGAUGGCCAGGCUGUCUCCACCCGAGACUCAGUGAAAUUGAACUCGCUGUGAAGAUGCAGUGUACCCGCGGCAAGACGGAAAGACCCCGUGAACCUUUACUAUAGCUUGACACUGAACAUUGAGCCUUGAUGUGUAGGAUAGGUGGGAGGCUUUGAAGUGUGGACGCCAGUCUGCAUGGAGCCGACCUUGAAAUACCACCCUUUAAUGUUUGAUGUUCUAACGUGGGCCCCUUACCGGGGUUGCGGACAGUGUCUGGUGGGUAGUUUGACUGGGGCGGUCUCCUCCUAAAGAGUAACGGAGGAGCACGAAGGUUGGCUAAUCCUGGUCGGACAUCAGGAGGUUAGUGCAAUGGCAUAAGCCAGCUUGACUGCGAGCGUGACGGCGCGAGCAGGUGCGAAAGCAGGUCAUAGUGAUCCGGUGGUUCUGAAUGGAAGGGCCAUCGCUCAACGGAUAAAAGGUACUCCGGGGAUAACAGGCUGAUACCGCCCAAGAGUUCAUAUCGACGGCGGUGUUUGGCACCUCGAUGUCGGCUCAUCACAUCCUGGGGCUGAAGUAGGUCCCAAGGGUAUGGCUGUUCGCCAUUUAAAGUGGUACGCGAGCUGGGUUUAGAACGUCGUGAGACAGUUCGGUCCCUAUCUGCCGUGGGCGCUGGAGAACUGAGGGGGGCUGCUCCUAGUACGAGAGGACCGGAGUGGACGCAUCACUGGUGUUCGGGUUGUCAUGCCAAUGGCACUGCCCGGUAGCUAAAUGCGGAAGAGAUAAGUGCUGAAAGCAUCUAAGCACGAAACUUGCCCCGAGAUGAGUUCUCCCUGACUCCUUGAGAGUCCUGAAGGAACGUUGAAGACGACGACGUUGAUA
rnacentral:rRNA from 1 species